AAAUGACCUGGCAAUUCCGUCUACUGAUGUCUCGAACAUGUUUCAGACUAAGCUACGAAAUGAAACUUGGGAAGACUUGCCAAAAAUGUCCUGCACAACUGAGAUCCAAGCAGCAUUCAUUCUCUCUUCCUUUGUGACCUUCUUCAGUGGACUCAUCAUCCUGUUGAUCUUCAGGCUGAUCUGGAGAUCUGUUAAAAAAUGGCAAAUCAUCAAGGGAACAGGAAUUAUCUUGGAACUGUUCACAUCAGGUACCAUCGCUAGGAGCCAUGUAAGAAGCCUCCACUUCCAGGGACAAUUUCGUGAUCAUAUAGAAAUGUUGCUUUCAGCCCAGACCUUUGUGGGGCAAGUGUUGGUGAUCCUUGUCUUUGUACUAAGCAUUGGGUCUCUUAUAAUCUAUUUCAUCAAUUCUGCUGACCCUGUUGGAAGCUGUUCAUCAUAUGAAGACAAAACCAUUCCUAUUGAUUUGGUUUUCAAUGCUUUCUUUAGUUUCUAUUUUGGAUUGAGGUUUAUGGCAGCUGAUGACAAGAUCAAGUUCUGGCUGGAGAUGAAUUCAAUCGUAGACAUCUUUACCAUCCCACCAACCUUUAUUUCUUAUUAUUUGAAGAGCAAUUGGCUAGGUUUAAGGUUCCUAAGAGCCUUGCGCCUGCUAGAACUCCCUCAAAUCUUGCAAAUUCUACGAGCCAUCAAGACCAGUAACUCAGUGAAGUUUUCCAAACUGCUGUCAAUAAUUCUCAGUACCUGGUUCACAGCUGCGGGAUUCAUUCACCUGGUGGAAAAUUCUGGUGAUCCCUGGCUCAAAGGUAGAAAUUCACAGAAUAUAUCAUAUUUUGAGUCAAUUUACCUGGUCAUGGCAACAACGUCAACCGUUGGAUUUGGAGAUGUGGUAGCCAAGACAUCCUUAGGACGGACCUUCAUCAUGUUCUUCACACUGGGGAGUUUGAUAUUAUUUGCGAACUAUAUACCUGAAAUGGUGGAACUGUUUGCUAACAAGAGGAAAUACACCAGUUCCUAUGAAGCACUCAAAGGAAAGAAGUUUAUUGUGGUCUGUGGAAACAUCACUGUGGACAGUGUGACCGCUUUCCUGAGGAAUUUCCUCCGCGACAAGUCAGGAGAGAUCAACACUGAAAUUGUUUUCCUGGGAGAAACCCCUCCUUCUUUGGAACUUGAAACCAUAUUUAAAUGCUACUUGGCCUACACAACGUUCAUUUCUGGAUCUGCAAUGAAGUGGGAGGAUCUGAGGCGAGUUGCGGUGGAAUCUGCAGAGGCAUGCCUGAUUAUAGCCAAUCCUUUGUGCAGUGAUUCCCAUGCUGAAGAUAUUUCCAACAUUAUGAGGGUGCUCUCUAUCAAGAACUAUGAUUCUACCACCAGAAUCAUCAUACAGAUACUGCAAUCCCAUAACAAGGUUUAUCUGCCAAAGAUUCCCAGCUGGAACUGGGACACCGGAGACAACAUCAUCUGCUUUGCUGAAUUAAAACUUGGAUUUAUCGCCCAAGGCUGUUUGGUGCCAGGCUUGUGUACCUUCCUAACAUCUCUAUUUGUGGAGCAAAACAAAAAGGUUAUGCCUAAACAGACCUGGAAGAAACACUUCUUGAAUAGCAUGAAAAACAAAAUUCUGACCCAACGUCUCUCUGAUGACUUUGCUGGAAUGAGCUUUCCUGAAGUUGCCCGGCUCUGCUUUCUGAAGAUGCACCUCCUGUUGAUAGCCAUCGAAUACAAGUCCCUCUUUACGGAUGGUUUCUGUGGUCUGAUACUAAAUCCACCUCCACAAGUGAGGAUACGUAAGAACACAUUAGGGUUCUUUAUUGCUGAAACUCCAAAGGACGUCAGAAGAGCCUUGUUUUACUGUUCAGUCUGUCAUGAUGAUGUGUUCAUUCCUGAGCUAAUUACAAACUGUGGCUGCAAAAGCAGAAGCCGGCAGCACAUCACAGUGCCAUCGGUAAAGAGAAUGAAAAAAUGUCUGAAGGGAAUCUCCUCUCGUAUAUCAGGGCAGGAUUCUCCGCCAAGGGUAUCUGCAAGCACUUCGAGCAUAUCAAACUUCACCACCAGGACUCUUCAACAUGAUGUAGAACAAGAUUCUGACCAGCUUGAUAGCAGUGGGAUGUUUCACUGGUGCAAACCAACCUCUUUGGACAAGGUGACUCUGAAACGAACUGGCAAGUCAAAGUAUAAGUUUCGGAACCAUAUUGUAGCAUGUGUAUUUGGAGAUGCCCACUCAGCCCCGAUGGGGCUUCGGAACUUUGUAAUGCCCUUGAGAGCCAGCAACUAUACCAGGAAGGAGCUGAAGGACAUAGUGUUCAUUGGGUCUCUGGACUAUCUACAGAGAGAAUGGCGAUUUCUCUGGAAUUUUCCCCAGAUAUACAUUCUGCCUGGAUGUGCACUUUAUUCUGGAGACCUCCAUGCGGCCAACAUAGAGCAAUGCUCCAUGUGUGCUGUCUUGUCCCCCCCACCCCAGCCAUCAAGCAACCAGACUUUGGUAGACACAGAAGCCAUCAUGGCAACCCUCACCAUCGGAUCCUUGCAAAUUGACUCCUCCUCUGACCCGUCACCCUCAGUGUCAGAGGAGACUCCAGGUUACACAAAUGGACAUAAUGAGAAAUCAAACUGCCGAAAAGUCCCUAUCCUUACUGAACUGAAAAAUCCUUCCAACAUUCACUUUAUUGAACAGCUUGGUGGACUGGAAGGGUCCCUCCAAGAAACAAAUCUGCAUCUCAGCACUGCCUUUUCUACGGGCACUGUUUUUUCCGGCAGCUUCUUGGAUUCUCUGCUGGCCACGCUCAUGUGGAAAUUGGCCAUAAAGGGAUCCCAGUUUCAAGGAAGAAGCUCUGGCCUUUGCUGGCCUUCUACAAUUAUCAUGUCCUGGAAUUGCUUCAGAUGCUGGUGACAGGAGGAGUAAGUUCUCAGCUGGAACAACAUUUAGAUAAGGAUAAAGUCUAUGGUGUGGCAGAUAGCUGCACGUCGCUCUUGUCUGGAAGAAACCGGUGUAAGCUGGGGCUUCUGUCCUUACACGAAACCAUUUUAUCAGACGUUAAUCCAAGAAACACCUUUGGACAACUGUUCUGUGGCUCAUUAGAUCUUUUUGGAAUCCUGUGUGUUGGCUUAUACCGAAUAAUUGAUGAAGAGGAGCUCAACCCAGAAAACAAAAGGUUUGUGAUCACCCGGCCAGCCAAUGAGUUCAAGCUGCUGCCUUCAGAUCUUGUGUUUUGUGCCAUACCCUUCAGCACUGCUUGUUAUAAAAGGAAUGAAGAGUUCUCAUUGCAAAAGUCAUAUGAAAUUGUAAAUAAAGCAUCACAGACAACAGAGACACAUUCAGACACAAAUUGUCCUCCCACCAUUGAUUCAGUUACUGAGACAUUGUAUUCACCAGUCUAUUCUUACCAGCCGAGAACUAACUCCCUCUCUUUUCCUAAGCAAAUAGCAUGGAAUCAGAGUAGAACAAACAGUAUUAUAUCAUCUCAGAUACCUUUAGGUGACAAUGCAAAAGAAAAUGAAAGGAAAACUUCAGAUGAGGUUUAUGAUGAGGAUCCCUUUGCAUAUUCAGAGCCACUAUAGACCUGCCCAUAUUCUUCACGUGCUCUUAACUUGCUGCUUACAAAUCAUCUCCUGAGAUGCUAACUUUGAACAAAGAAAAUAAGAAUGGAAGCAUGCCAUUUUUCUGCCCAUUGCUUAGUGGUUCAUGAAGGCCACACUGUUUUGGGUGAGACAAAAGUCUAAUGCCACUGGAUCUUGUGUGAUAAAUAAAGAAAUAUAUGAUCAA